rnacentral:rRNA from 1 species
GAUGAACGCUGGCGGCGUGCCUAAUACAUGCAAGUCGAGCGAACAGAUGAGGAGCUUGCUCCUCUGACGUUAGCGGCGGACGGGUGAGUAACACGUGGAUAACCUACCUAUAAGACUGGGAUAACUUCGGGAAACCGGAGCUAAUACCGGAUAAUAUAUUGAACCGCAUGGUUCAAUAGUGAAAGACGGUUUUGCUGUCACUUAUAGAUGGAUCCGCGCCGCAUUAGCUAGUUGGUAAGGUAACGGCUUACCAAGGCAACGAUGCGUAGCCGACCUGAGAGGGUGAUCGGCCACACUGGAACUGAGACACGGUCCAGACUCCUACGGGAGGCAGCAGUAGGGAAUCUUCCGCAAUGGGCGAAAGCCUGACGGAGCAACGCCGCGUGAGUGAUGAAGGUCUUCGGAUCAUAAAACUCUGUUAUUAGGGAAGAACAAAUGUGUAAGUAACUAUGCACGUCUUGACGGUACCUAAUCAGAAAGCCAUGGCUAACUACGUG